UCACGCGAUGCGGGAGAGCUCUUCGGCACUGUCGAAGAGCACCGAAGGAGCAAUUCUCCCCACCAAUCUCUCAGGUACGUGUACCGCAUCGAACAG
rnacentral:ncRNA from 1 species